CGAUGUGGCCUUCUACUAUUGUUGAUCCUGGGUGCCCUCCUGCUGGCUUUCGGCAUAGGGCUGCUGGUGUAUUAUUUAUUGCAUUCAUCACCAGAAUUUGCCAGCUAUCAGACGACGACAGCCCCCACUGAUGUUACGCUUCAGAACGUGCCGUAUAAUGCUAAUAUGGCCAACUCCUCUUCGG